UACGUAGGGGCUAGCGUUAUCCGGAAUUACUGGGCGUAAAGGGUGCGUAGGUGGUUUCUUAAGUCAGAUGUGAAAGGCUACGGCUCAACCGUAGUAAGCCUUUGAAACUGAGAAACUUGAGUGCAGGAGAGGAGAGUAGAAUUCCUAGUGUAGCGGUGAAAUGCGUAGAUAUUAGGAGGAAUACCAGUUGCGAAGGCGGCUCUCUGGACUGUAACUGACACUGAGGCACGAAAGCGUGGGGAGCAAACAGGAUUAGAUACCCUGGUAGUCCCU
rnacentral:rRNA from 1 species